rnacentral:rRNA from 1 species
UACGUAGGGACCAAGCGUUGUUCGGAUUUACUGGGCGUAAAGGGCGCGUAGGCGGCAAUUCAAGUCAUCUGUGAAAUCUCCGGGCUUAACUCGGAACGGUCAGAUGAUACUGCUUUGCUAGAGUGCGGAAGGGGCAAUCGGAAUUCUCGGUGUAGCGGUGAAAUGCGUAGAUAUCGAGAGGAACACCUGAGGUGAAGACGGGUUGCUGGGCCGACACUGACGCUGAGUGCGCGAAAGCGUGGGGAGCAAACGGG